UAACGAAGUGGUUGAUGCCAUGCUUCCAAGAAAAGCUUCUAAGCUUCAGGUAACCAGGAACCGUACCCCAAACCGACACAGGUGGUUGGGUAGAGAAUACCAAGGCGCUUGAGAGAACUCGGGUGAAGGAACUAGGCAAAAUGGCACCGUAACUUCGGGAGAAGGUGCGCCGGUGAGGGUGAAGGACUUGCUCCGUAAGCUCAUGCCGGUCGAAGAUACCAGGCCGCUGCGACUGUUUAUUAAAAACACAGCACUCUGCAAACACGAAAGUGGACGUAUAGGGUGUGACGCCUGCCCGGUGCCGGAAGGUUAAUUGAUGGGGUUAGCUAACGCGAAGCUCUUGAUCGAAGCCCCGGUAAACGGCGGCCGUAACUAUAACGGUCCUAAGGUAGCGAAAUUCCUUGUCGGGUAAGUUCCGACCUGCACGAAUGGCGUAACGAUGGCGGCGCUGUCUCCACCCGAGACUCAGUGAAAUUGAAAUCGCUGUGAAGAUGCAGUGUAUCCGCGGCUAGACGGAAAGACCCCGUGAACCUUUACUAUAGCUUUGCACUGGACUUUGAAUUUGCUUGUGUAGGAUAGGUGGGAGGCUUUGAAGCGUGGACGCCAGUCUGCGUGGAGCCAUCCUUGAAAUACCACCCUGGCAACUUUGAGGUUCUAACUCAGGUCCGUUAUCCGGAUCGAGGACAGUGUAUGGUGGGUAGUUUGACUGGGGCGGUCUCCUCCUAAAGAGUAACGGAGGAGUACGAAGGUGCGCUCAGACCGGUCGGAAAUCGGUCGUAGAGUAUAAAGGCAAAAGCGCGCUUGACUGCGAGACAGACACGUCGAGCAGGUACGAAAGUAGGUCUUAGUGAUCCGGUGGUUCUGUAUGGAAGGGCCAUCGCUCAACGGAUAAAAGGUACUCCGGGGAUAACAGGCUGAUACCGCCCAAGAGUUCAUAUCGACGGCGGUGUUUGGCACCUCGAUGUCGGCUCAUCACAUCCUGGGGCUGAAGCCGGUCCCAAGGGUAUGGCUGUUCGCCAUUUAAAGUGGUACGCGAGCUGGGUUUAGAACGUCGUGAGACAGUUCGGUCCCUAUCUGCCGUGGACGUUUGAGAUUUGAGAGGGGCUGCUCCUAGUACGAGAGGACCGGAGUGGACGAACCUCUGGUGUUCCGGUUGUCACGCCAGUGGCAUUGCCGGGUAGCUAUGUUCGGAAUAGAUAACCGCUGAAAGCAUCUAAGCGGGAAACUAGCCUCAAGAUGAGAUCUCACUGGAACCUUGAGUUCCCUGAAGGGCCGUCGAAGACUACGACGUUGAUAGGUUGGGUGUGUAAGCGCUGUGAGGCGUUGAGCUAACCAAUACUAAUUGCCCGUGAGGCUUGACCAUAUAACACCCAAGCAAUU
rnacentral:rRNA from 2 species